UGUAGUAGUCCCCAAACAACUGGAGAGCCUCAGGUUGGCCGCUCCUGCUCCAGAUUAGUGGACGGGAGCAACAACAAGAUUAAUUAACAAGCAUUUGGUGCUUCUUGGUGUGUUUGGUGACUGCAUAUAGUGGAAGAGUAGAAAUAGUCCGAUUCUGAACAUGACAGGCUAGUUAAAUCCGCAAGCCAGUUAUUCGUUUUUUUAAAAACCCAAGGACCAGGAAAAUGCAUAUUUGGAUGCAUAUUAAAGGCCACUUAGAAAGCAAUCCUAUGCAUGUCUACUCUGAAGCAAAUCCAACUGUGUUCUGUGGGGCUUACAUCUGUGGGAGCACAUCAGAUUGCGUGGUGAAGAUGGAUUCGUGAUCUUAAUCACCCCCCCCCUCCCCGGUGGUGUAGAAGAGAGAGAUGUUCACUAUUUGCAGCGGGGCUCCUAAUCUCACCAGCGUUAGCGACUGCUGCAGAUUGCCAGAAUCCGCCGCUUCCCACCUUUCCCCGGGACUUCCAGCAGUAAUAGACAGUAAUAGCCUAAGACAAAUCAGCCAGUUUUGUGUAAAAAUAGAUGCGCCGAGCUCUUAAACUCGCAGGAACAAGUUGGUUGCCUGGGCUAGGUGCUCAGAAAGUAACAGGGCGCCGCAACUCCUGCAAAGACGGCCCAGACAAGAGAAGCAGCGGCACUCGACGUGACAUCGACGAGGAAGCUUUCAGCUCUGUGGGAUCCGUCUCAACCAGUUAGUUGGCCGAUAACUGCUUUUGUCUGGCAAAACUCUGGUUUCCCCAAAGCAUCUUCUCGAUUCAGAUGGGAUGCCCGAAGAUCGUGACUUCACCCAAGCCACUGUGGGAGACUGCUUUGCCAAUUUCCUGUUCACACUGACUAUCUGCAGGGGACCCAAGAAAAUGGCUAACAGGAAGUCACCUGCAUCCUCUUCUUUGUUUCCCUGGAACCAAUGUGCAAUUUUAAUACAGGCAACGAAGGGAGCGACUUGAAUGAAGUUUCAUGUUCGUCAUAACAACCACAAUAAUUAAAAAUUGAUGCCGCAACACACAUUGGAAUGUGGAAGACAAACAGGGGUCAGAAUCAGGUGACCCAAGGGCAGAAUAUCUCACUUCCAGUGGAUGCCAACCAAACGAUAAUACUGGGGUGACGUUGGAUAAAGCGGUAAACAAAGAAUGGGUGGAGCAGUGAUGAACCCUGCCUUGGAGUAAGCCCUAGGUGCCUAGGAUUGGCUUCAUGACAAGAAAUCAGAAACACUGGUGCGAAAGCUGGGCAAUGAGUGAUUAUUAAAUCUGCUCCACUGCAAUCUUGGGUAGAUUCAUCCAACUCACCAUUUUAUAUUCAAGUUUGCAGAAAAUGUAAGCUUUCUGACUUUGAAGAAGUACUAUUAUGGACAUGUGAUAGGGAUCCAAGUCAGAACAGAAAAGGUGAUUCAUAUUGGAUUAUUUUCAUUCAAGUCUGCUCGCCUGUCAAGGAGAUGUGGAAAUGUGCUGGCAUUCCAGCUGAAGACAUCAUUAUGAGUGAGAAAAUGCUCAAGGCCUUUUUUCAAAGUGGGUGCUGAAAGAGAUGCUUCCCUUCUUUGACUCCAGGGGAUGCUGAUAGCUACCCCAGCAGACAGGUUUAUGGGGUUUGUCAAAACCCAUCAUCUGAGCAGACUAGAUUGAAUUACUUCGACCAGAGAUGAGUUGAAGGCACUUGCAUCGGGGAAUAAAUGCCUCAUGGUUGCUUUCCAAUAGGAGGAUGUCGAGACUUGUGGAAACUCUAACUCUGGCUGUUUUCCUGGAAGCAGGAAGAAGAACACCCUUCAGAGAAAAACAGGAACAUUUGCAGAGGUCAGACAAAGUCUCCUCCUACACGAAAGAAAUCAAUGUUCUGUAUUAAGUCCAGAAAAUGUUUUUGAAAGGCCAGGACAACCCUUGAGUUAUUCUGGACCACAUUAUGGGUCCAUCUUGAGAGCAGAUUGGAAGAGCUUCAGACAGUCCCUGCUGUUCAGAAGCACAGGGGGCUUCAGUUAAUCUUGGUCUCUGUUGAUCCACAUAGCUGAUGGGUCAGAGUGUAUGUACAGACCACAUGGCAGGCUUCCCACACACUCUGCAGGAAGUAUCUGCCUUUUCUUGGGAUGCUUCCAGUCAUCUCAACAUUAUGUUACAGUGCCAAGCAGGAAAGCGGGAAGUCACAUUUAGAAAAGCUGUCAAAUUGUUAUGAAUGACAUUCCUACCCCACCCAUCCUGUAAUGAGUUCAAGGUGGUGUACAUGGUUUAUCUCACAACAAUCCUGUGUGGUAGGUUAGGCUGAAAGCCAAUGACUGCUUGGUGGGGGUGUUAGGGGUUCCAGAAAUGGGAUGACAGUACCUGUAAACUUCCUUGGCAUACCUGCAGAGCACUCAGCCUGGCCUGAUGUGUGUUUUAGAGAGUUCGGCAAGGAAACAGUGUCCAUCACUGAAACUAAGAGCAGCUUAGGGAACCAGUUAGGGAGGAAGCACAAGUGUGACAUCCUACCCCACAGGGGUCCAGGCAAAGGCUCUCCAAUACUCCAAGAAAGGCUUCCUGCAUAGAGACUCUAAAGUGCUCUUGAGACUUCGAAACCAAGGCAGCCAUGGCUCUUCCCCCAUCCCUGCACACACUUGUAUUCUUGACCUGGGUGUUAAAACCACCCAGUCACCCUUCCAGGAUUCUUCAAAGUUUUAAAGCCAAUAAGCCAAAAGUCCUAAAAUCCACACUUUACUUCCAAGACAAUCCCCUCUGCCUGUCUGGGUCGUUUGAAACUCAUUGUUCUGUUGUUUCCUAUAGAAGAUUAUUCCCAUUAACUUUUAAUCUGAAGGGACACUGAUUUAAUUUCUUUUUACCCUAUAAAACCGGGCAGUUGAAAGCCCCAAAUUGCACAGUCUUUGGGAUCCAUUCUGUUGCCCUCUGCUUUUUCAUCAUCACCACAAUCCAUUUCUCCACUGAAACCCAACUUCUCUUCCCCUUACACCAGACAGAUAAAUAUAGGGAGAGCUCCUUCUUCCUUGCUCCUGAUAUCUUUUUUCCUCCUCGAUUCCCGCUUCCCUUCCCUGUCCAUGUGUGUGAGUGAUUGUAGGUUUCAUGGUGCUAGUCUAGAUUGUUUUUCAUUUAGAUCUGUUUUCCAACAGUAAAAGUUAAUUCCUCCCUGAUUAAAAAGGUUAGCCUCUAUAGGGACACCAAUCCUGUAGAAUCCACUCAACGGACCUAAAGCUUAUUUCAGAUAGUUUAGUAUAUUACUAGUUUAUAUUUCAGAUAAAAGUUGUGCUCAACACAUAACAUGCUCAUUUCAGAUUAGUACUCUCUAGAGUGCCAUCCCCUUAAAGUUUAGGGCAAAAGCCCAAUGAAGAUAGCAUCUAGUUGAUUUUUCCAGCCAAGGGUAUCCGCAGGGUGUCCUUUCUGGUAAAGGUGACCAUAGCCACAUGUCUUUUCCUUUCCCCAUUAGUUUGAACUCCCAAAGCAUCAGAACAGUCUUCCAUUCCCCAUCUGUGAUCCCUGACAUGCCCCGGGAACCAUUACCACCUCAACCCUCAGAUCUACCCUUGCACUGAAGAGCUGUGAGGCUCUUCCUGUUUAGCCAAAGAAGCCAUUUCCCAUCUAGUCAAUUUCCUUCAUUUGGUCUCCCUUUCACUUUUAACUCUACUCCCUCCCUCAUUCUCUUUCUCCUCCUCCCACCCCAUGCCUUGACAAAUCUCUGGCCUGGCCUGUGAUUCCUUUCUUUACCCAAACACAUUGGGGUUCUUGUCCCUCUCUCUCUAGGUCUCCUGCCUGUUCUUCAACUGGCUCUGCCCUUCCUCCAUCCCUGAACUCUCUCUGCUUCCCCUUCUUGCUUCGCCCAGUCUUCUGCUGGUUCUCUGGAUCAGCUCCCCCUUUUUUCAUUAUCUGAACCUGUUCAGGUACCUGUCUUGGUCUCCUGCUGGUCCUCCUGAAUGGCCUCUUCUUCUCUCCCCAGCCAAACCUUUUUGGAUCUCUCUUCUCUCUACUUCUCACCUUGGUUGUGUCUGGUACUGACCCUUUCUGCUUACUUUCCCCAGCCCCUGCCGGAUCCUUUCUACUGAAUCCUCUCUCUCCACCCUCUGAGCAAACCUCCCAUUAGUGUUCCCCAAUUCCCCUCACUAGUAAGUAAACACUCAUUUAGUAACUAUAUAACAAUGGUAAAAUAACAAGCCCAGACAAAUGAACAUCUUAAGAGUCUGUGUAAUGUGGAAAUACCAGCAUAUCAUACCACAGCCCAACCUCCACUUUGUAUUCAAUAUAUUUUUAUUUGGACUUUUAAACCUGUGGUAGUGACUUGCCUGGGAAACUGCUUGUUUUAUGACCUCACAAUGUCUUGCAAGGGGAUAAAAAGUGCCUCUCAUAAUAGGGGAAAGCCAAUUAGUGGAGAUUUGACCCUGGGCCUCCUUUGUGUAAAUUCAACACUCCAACCACUGCACCACACCACACACAUAAUGGUAGUGAUGUCCUUUAAGAUGCCAAACUCUGUACAAAGUUCUGAGUGCCACUGAUAAAAUGAUCAGCAAUUAUAUGAUUGAUACAAUUCAUCUUUAUAUUAUUGGUUAAUUUACAAAUUGAAUAACUGAAUGACAUAAGCAAAAGCUUUUCUAAUCACCAAGAGAUAUUUCUUAUGCCUCCAAAUUGACAAAACAUUGCAAGAUUCAAGCAAAAUAAUGCAGAGAAAUAGACCUAUUGCACCCGAAUGAUGUCUGAUGUACUCUGUGAUGAGAAAACAGAGCCAUAAAGUUAUCCACAGUUUGCAGUUUAUGAUUUGGUGAUCUACUUUUAAUGCCAUUGAUGAUUGUGUCACUUUAAAUAUAGGCAUAUUAAAAUGCAUAUAUGUAAAGAAUAUUUGUGAUCUUCAGCUGAAAAUAAUGAUAAAGAAUUCUUUAUCUCCAUCUUCUACUUACUGUAUGAAUAAAUAACUUGUACAUCGCUUUAAAUUGAUCUUCUACCUUAACUGAAACUGUUCCUGCAAAGAACAGAAGGUGACAACAGAAUGAAGUGAAGUGAUGUGUGAUGUCAUCUCACAACUGUAGAUGACAUCACAAUUGUGGCGUAGUUUCAGAUAAAGAGAAAUCAAACAAUUCACCACACAUUUAAAGGUUUGGCACAAGAAGGAAGGAGCUGGCACACCUGCAUGGAUUUGUAUGGUGGGAAAUAUGUUGAAUUCCCUGAAUUCUGGAAUAGAUUCCCCACUGCAGGACAAAUUUUAAAUUGUCAUUAAAGAUUUAGUUGAUUAAUUGUACUGAUUAAUUGAUUAGAGCUUCGAGCCUGAAUGGAAAUGCUUCAGUAGUGCAGCUAUGCAGGUCAUAUGGAUCGAAAAGGCGUUUUAAAAUAAAGCAGGGGAGGGGGAAACAGGGAAAAGCAGAGGAGAAAUGCAAUUUCCUUUUUCCUACCCGCUAAACUCAUCAUAACUUGAAGUCAACCAAGCCAACAUUUUACACCCGCUGCCACUUUGACAUGACAGGCAUGGUAUUUUCAUACCUACAGAAUUGCUGAGGAAAUUCUUCCUACAAAAGUUUGUCAUGAGGAGGAUUGCAGAGAGUAACUGAUGUGUAGGCAAAGCUCAGAAUGAACAUGCUUGAAACAAAGUCCCCAAAGCGAUGGUGACAGUGGGCCGUCCCCCCACCCCCCACCAACCAGACUGAUACUUCAAAAACUCGAUUGAGAGGGUUUGUCCUCUGCUACUGAUGACCAAGAUUUGAUCCAUAAAGGAUGGCAGCUUUGUGAGCAAUGGGAAAGGAAAUUUCUUACUUUAACUCUAGCCAUUGAAUCUGAAGAGUAAUUGCCACCCUGGAAAGGAAUCAUGAGAAAUGUUUUUGAAGCUUCAAAGGGACUGCACUGUUCUCUUACCCCAUGGGAAUAUUAAUUACUCCCAAACUUUUAUAAUUCGUUGAACAAUACCAUAUGUGUUAGUCAAAGAAAUUACAGGCAAAGCAGUGCUAAAGGGGGCUUGACUUGAAUUGCCCUGAAAUUGGACCAAGCAGUUUGACAGACUAUUGGAUAGCACUUUGAAGCAUCCCACUGUGCCUGGAGUGGAACACAAAAAAUGAAUUUGAGUUACCCGAGAGUUUCUCACUCUUAACUCUUAGUAUUCUAUUUUCAGCAUUUGGAAAAAGGAGUUUUGAAAUCACUGCCACACAGACUUGGUGACUGUGUGCAUUUACAAAAAAUGGCAAAGAAUAUUUCAAAAUAUUGUAAGGAUCAGGAUGACACAAAGCCAAAGAAUACUUCUGGAUUCUAAUAUUGAACUGAGCAUUGUUUGAGACUGAAGCGAUUCAUCGUGGGUUAUUCUCUGCUACAGUGUCCAGCAAAUUGCAUGACCAGUUUGUUAGGGUUGACAAGUGUGCUUUAUCUAACAAUGGCCUCAGCAGCUCCGAACAGCAGUGGAAUGUCAAAAUGAGCACAUUUCACACACAAAUGUGUGACCAUAAUGGGUAUAAGAAGAUGCAUGUGGUGGAGAGGAGAGGGGGCCGGGGGCCGGAGAGGCUAACAGUUAGCAGUAGGGACUUGGCCCCACUGACCAUUUUUAAUCAGUCCUUCUGUAAACAAUUCAACAUUUUCAUUGUUCUCCAAAAACUAAUAAAGAGAAACAAGCACUUUUCAUUCAUCUUGAAGUAAUUUUCUGUCAGGUUCAAGCCCCUUGUGGCCUACAGCUUGUGCACAGCUAGCUGUGUGAUACAACAACUAUUUCAAUUUAUUUUACAAACCCCAACCAUUCAAAUGUCAGUUAGUGUUCACCAAGCCGGCAUCUGAAAUUGUGCAGUUAACGAGUUUUACAACAUUUCUAUCAAGAGAAACUGUUUAGCAUAACUGACUCUUAAGGAGUUAUUAUACCUCUAAAAAUCCAUUUUAAGGGGCAUUAUUUAAAUAAAAUAGAAAAACGGUUCACUGCCUUUUAAAGGGGCUACAAAAAAAGUCCAUCAGAUCCAGUGCAGUAAUCCUCAGCUUAAAGCACUCUCGAGAGCACUUCUGGGAAUUAUCAGCAUAAUGAAAUGUUUUGUGAAAUGUCCAGAUAGAUUCCUCUACUCAACAAUUUUACGGCACCAUAUUUAUUUUCCACCCAUUUUUUUUAAAGAAGUGAAUUACUUUUCAAGAGGAUGACUCUACACUCUGCAGAUUAACUGAACACAUUAUUACCAAGGUUAUAGUAGAAGGGAGAGCACAGUUUGUAGCAUCGUCAAUGUAAGAAGACGGUAGGAAAAGGAUCAGCCUUUUGUGCUGUCCUCCACUCAAAAUGGGUUAAACCACAAUGAGGCUUAUGCAAAUGUACGUCUCCUUGUACUUCAUUUCCCAUACUCUUAAACAACUCUGUUAUACACUUGCACCUGUAAAAUACUCUAUUGUAAUCAGUUCAGACUCUCUGUAGGUUAAUUAAAUGAACAAACAACAAAAAAAGUAUAAUGAAACUGAACUGAUUAAACUGGCAGAUAUGUGUGGAUAUUGAAAUUAAAAAGGAAUAGUUUUCACAAAUUAACCAUGAUGGCCAAUGACCCAAAGCUACUUUAAUGGCAGCAGUCCAUAAUGGGGGCACAGUGCUACAUUACAGUAAGUUGAUCUUACACAUUAAAUUACC